rnacentral:lncRNA from 1 species
UUCCUAAAUCAUUCUUGCUCCUCCAUUCAUAAUUUGAAAUUUGAAUUCUUGGCAAAAUUUAAAGAAAGAAGGGCCUUACAGGAAUCCCUUCAUUCUCAAUCAUUUUUGUUCCCUUAUCUAUAUUCAAAAUUUAAUUUACAAUUUUGGUAGGAUCCAAACAAGGAAAAUCAUGAUGGAUUAAAAUCUUUCAAAUUUUGCUCCCU